CUCGAGCACACACAGCUGUGUUUUCAGAAAUGUCAGGACUUUUGAGUGUAAAAACCCUAUUUCCCUAACCCCAAAACCCCUAAACUUAAAAUAGCAUUUGAAAAAAACUCUAGACCUUGUUAGGACAUUGGGGUCCUGAUAAUGUAGAAAAACAAGUACACACACACACACACUUGCCACUCACUGCAGAUUUCAGAUCACAACCAGGAAAGUUGUGAUAGAGGAAGUCCUUGAUUUCCUCCUCGCCCAGCCUCUUUACCGUAGACACCUACCUCUCGGCUGCCGGUUAUCAGAAGAAAUGUCGUUUCUGGUUACCUGUGCUUACCGCAGGCCAAAGUCACACGCACAAAACUAUUGCUUGGAAGGAUGUGCUAUGAUUGGUAUCCUUUGUUCAGGGCUGGGUGUUCUGAAGUGAUAUUUUGUGCUCUGUUCAUCAAUGCCCCAUGGCCUUUUCCCAUCACUUUCAAAUGAGUCCUCUUCCCCCCUCCAGCGUGCCAUCGUGUCCUGUCAAUGUCACAUCCCCUCUGCAGCUUUGUUAGUCUGCCUAAUCACCCCAGAGAAAUCAUCCUGAACCCUUUUCACACACACACACAACUGGGGUUUCAGACAACACAUCGCUCACUUACCAGAAAUAACGUCAGUAGUUUGUUGUGUGUUCUCACCAGCAUUUACAGUGAUAUCCUGUCUGUAGUGUAUAGUCUAGCAGACAGGCUGCAUACGUUCAUGUCAUGUGAGAUUCAGUCCAGGCUGAGAGACGUGAUGCUCGCCACAAUGAUGUGACUACCAGAUAGGCCUGUGCUAGAUAACAAAAUGACCCUAUUGCCAAGCCUGAGAACCAUUUUUUUUUGUUUAUUAGAUUUGUCAGUGAUAAUCAAGUAAAUGACUAUAUAGGAUAGUCUGUAACCCAAAAUAUACAUCUUAAAAACACACUGCACAAUACCUUUACAAUUUUUUUUGUCAGCAAAAAAAUAAAUUCUUUAGCCAUUCUAAGCAAUUCAAUGUGUUGUGCAGUCCAAACAAUACUUCAGUGGUCACUUUAAUUAAAUGGUUUGAGAGUUAAUAUCAGUACUGAGUUGCAUGUGCACAUUGUGCGACUACCAGAUCAGCUGCAAGCACUGGUGCUAUGAAACAGCUGUUUGAUACUCCCACACUGUCACCUACUACUAACCAAACACUGUCACCUACUACUAACCAAACACUGUCACCUACUACUAACCAAACACUGACACUACUAUUAACCAAACACUGACAUCUACUAGCUGGUGCACUUCCCAAUUCUCUGGCCAAUGUUACUCCCAUGUUAGGUUAUGCAAAUUUCCUGGAAACUGUUCAGAUAUUGCAAAUUAAUGACCAUGUCCUUAACGCUGCUGUUGCCGCUUUGUGUGUGUAUGCUUGUGGCAUGCAGUGUAUUGUGUGAGGCUUCUACAGUGCAUGUGUAUGUGCUAGUAUCCUCAUUCUGAGAAGUCACAUGACCCCCCCCUCUGCACUGUUUCAACAUAAGUUGUUGCUGAGGUUGAGGGUAGAAUCAGGGACUUUCCCUUUCUGCUCUAGUCGCUGUCUCCUUCUGAUCUUAUCUCAGUAAAUUGUGAGUUGACCCCUCCUAGUAGAAUGAGCUCUUCCAUGGUAUGUUCAGGGCCUUUGUUAGUCUUUCCUGGGAAGUUGCACAACUAUAACAUUAACCUAUUUAAUCCCAUCGGUCACAAUAGUAAAAAACGUUUCCAGUUAUACAGCUCUAUAAAUGUUACAUCAAUGCAUUUACAGAAAAUAUUGAAAUAAUAAAGGGUAGCAAUGAAAUGUGUAAAUUGUCACAUGACCAGAGCUGUUUACUUCCUGGUAACACCAUGAGAAGAGGAUGGCUGCAUCAAAGCUCCCAAACAAAAGUUUCACUGAGUCAAGUUCUGGAUAUGUUGGAUCUAGGUGACUGCACAGACAGGGCAUGCAACAUUGCAGUUAUCCCUCAAAAUGAGAGCUGCUGUCCUCCCUCAAAAUGAGAAAUAGGCUGUCCUGAGUGAUUGCAAUGGGUCAGAUAUGGACUAUGCGCAGGCCAUUUGCCAGCCAGGCUGUUGAAUGCAUAUGCUGAACCUAUGCAAACAGAUCAUGACAGGAACAAUGUUAUCAGUGAUGACCUGGUCACAACCAUAACACACUUUUCACCUACUUUUCCAUUAAAACUGAAAAAUAAUGAUUGAUUAUUUCAAAGGGUUACUAAUGACAUUGGAUUUGGAUAUUUCAUGUCUGGGAAAAUGUUGGGAUUAAAUGCACACCUCAUUGUUUUUACCUCCUCCUGUUCUUUGUAUCCUUGUCUGGCGCACACCCACCCAUUCAAGGCUUUUCCUCAUACCUAGAACUCUCCCCUCCACUCCUCUGUUCUUCUGGUUUAUCUGCUCAUUUCAUUGGAAUGUAACUCUGGACACACAGCCAGCAGGGGAGAGGGAAGGGAUUUCCCCUCUUAUCCCGUCUAUCCCCUUGCCUCCCCUCUAUACCGCUUCCAGCUAUUCCUCUCCCUGGCUUUCUUACCCUAUGCUCCCCCUUCUCUCCCUCCCCACACUCUGCCCCUCUUAUCUGCAGUUUUUGUUUGUCAUUCUGGAAUGGUUUACAGGAAGCUAGAACUAAACUCAAUGAACUUGAGUGUUUUUGGACCAUCAUAAAAGCUUUGAUUUGGCCUUUUGAUUAAGUAUUGUGACAUGUUGAUGGUUACGUCCUUUACGGCACAUUCUAGGAAGUACAAGAUGACUGAGUCAGACUGUUGGUAGUUCAUGGGAGGGAAAACACUCGAGUGUGUGUGAGAUCAGUCAUGAGUAACUGAGGAUUCAGGGAAAUAGGAGUUCUCUCAGGAAGUGAGGGCCACUGGCAUUAAGACAUUUCACCAGUGUUUUCUCCCGCCACUGCAUUGGUAUUUUGCUGCUGUUCUUUACUGGAACAUAGUGUGUGGGGGAGGGGCGGGCGCGCUAAGUACGUGCUUUUCCUGAAUCAAAGUGAAACUAAAUGAUCAUCCUGACCACUGAGGUUAUUCAUACUGAACAAUGAUAGAUUCCAGAUCAAGUGACUUCCCUAAACCCUUUCUGAAUGUCUCUGGACAUUGGACCACUGACAAAGUUAACAUUUAUCAAAUCAGGUUUUAUGAAUCAAUUAAUCAUUGGCCAUAGUCUCUGGAACAUCCUAGAUUGCACAAGUGCUUUCAGUAAACCUGUGUUGUAAUCUGCAAUCCCCUGCAUAGUGGCAUGUCUCUGGAAUCACCUGGGCCGGGUCCCAGGCUUUCCUACACAACAUGGGCUGUUCCGGUCACUUGAGACAAACAGGUUUUUACCUCAUUCACCACAUCCGAUCUGGCUCGAAAAAGCAUUAGUUCUUUCAAAUACUUUAGGUGCACCUAAUUUUGAAACAAGAAAAACCAUAUGGGGCUGUAUCUUCACCCUGACCUUGGUGGAAGCCAUCUCCUAGCUGUUUUGCAUUUUGGACUUUGAUGGUGUGUUUACCAUCCUGUGUGGCGUUUUAUCUUUGUCUGCCGAUGUCUAAUGCUGAUAAAGCCAGAAAGCCUUCUGUGCCGUGACUGGGCAGCUCCGGUUUCUUUGGGGGCGUAUGCCCAACCUUAUCUAGCCAAUCGUUUAUCAGCUCUUGUGAACAGGAUGGAGAUGCGAUUCCAUUAACAGAAGUAAUACACUUCUUCUUCCUCC